UUCGGAAUGAAACCAGAUAUGACUUAGUGGCGGACGGGUGAGUAACACGUGAGCAACCUGCCUUUCAGAGGGGGAUAACGGCUGGAAACGGUCGCUAAUACCGCAUGACGUGUUCGGAUGGCAUCAUCUGAACAUCAAAGAUUUAUCGCUGAAAGAUGGACCCGCGUUGGAUUAGCUAGUUGGUGAGGUAACGGCCCACCAAGGCGACGAUCCAUAGCCGACCUGAGAGGGUGACCGGCCACAUUGGGACUGAGACACGGCCCAAACUCC
rnacentral:rRNA from 1 species